GUUACUCCUACGGGAGGCAGCAGUGGGGAAUAUUGCACAAUGGGCGCAAGCCUGAUGCAGCAACGCCGCGUGAGGGACGACGGCCUUCGGGUUGUAAACCUCUUUUAGCAGGGAAGAAGCGAAAGUGACGGUACCUGCAGAAAAAGCGCCGGCUAACUACGUGCCAGCAGCCGCGGUAAUACGUAGGGCGCAAGCGUUAUCCGGAAUUAUUGGGCGUAAAGAGCUCGUAGGCGGUUUGUCGCGUCUGCUGUGAAAUCCGGAGGCUCAACCUCCGGCCUGCAGUGGGUACGGGCAGACUAGAGUGCGGUAGGGGAGAUUGGAAUUCCUGGUGUAGCGGUGGAAUGCGCAGAUAUCAGGAGGAACACCGAUGGCGAAGGCAGAUCUCUGGGCCGUAACUGACGCUGAGGAGCGAAAGGGUGGGGAGCAAACAGGCUUAGAUACCCUGGUAGUCCACCCCGUAAACGUUGGGAACUAGUUGUGGGGUCCAUUCCACGGAUUCCGUGACGCAGCUAACGCAUUAAGUUCCCCGCCUGGGGAGUACGGCCGCAAGGCUAAAACUCAAAGGAAUUGACGGGGACCCGCACAAGCGGCGGAGCAUGCGGAUUAAUUCGAUGCAACGCGAAGAACCUUACCAAGGCUUGACAUAUACGAGAACGGGCCAGAAAUGGUCCAACUCUA
rnacentral:rRNA from 1 species